rnacentral:lncRNA from 1 species
CAUCCUUACAAUACACGCAUUACUGAUCUAAGGACUUCACAUUGGUAAAAAGCAAUCCAGGAAACAAAAGGUGGUGCAGCCAGUAGAAAAUUGGCUGAAAAAUGCUACUUCCUUUGGAAAUCUACACAAUAACAGCACAUUACACUAGCAGAAGAUGUCAAAGCCAUGUUCACUGAACUUUGAAAGGAGGUCCACCUACUUCUAUUAAUGAAUGGGGACAGACAGACCCAGAGGGAGAAGACUGAGGCUUGUGGCUGUCAGUCCUAUUUUGACACUGUUGUAGGUGGAAAGCAGAGAGAGAGGAGAAGCCAGAACCAUCCAUGUUGUAUUACUGCUGCAAUCCUCUCGGAGUACAACCUGCAGAUUGAAAGCAGGACUGAAAGCAACAGUCUGAAUUGAUAAAAAUGGAAUAGUGCCACUGAAUUCCCACCCAGUUCCAUGUUAUAUAGUUUCUUCUGUGCUAGAGUUACCUGCUCUCUUACAAAGUAUAG